AAAAGCAAGGCAUUUGGACGAAAUAUUCGGGGGACAAAAAAUUAAUUCAAAAAUAAUAUUAGAGCAUAAGGUUGGUUGCUGGCAAAACGAGCAAGGCAUUUACAACUUACGAUCAAGGCAGGAGGUAGAAGUGAAUAAAGGAAAUCUCCAAAGUGAAAAACUCGCAAGUGAUGGAAGUUCAGAUGAAGGCAGGCAUUCUAAGCAGUCGCACAGUGUUCACAACAUUUUACUAAAUUCCGAACAAGGAAAAGCAGUUUUAAAACUAUAUGGCGAAACUAAAAUGCUGUUGCC